UGGGGGAAUUUUGGACAAUGGGCGAAAGCCUGAUCCAGCAAUGCCGCGUGUGUGAAGAAGGCCUUCGGGUUGUAAAGCACUUUUGUCCGGAAAGAAAUCCUUGGCUCUAAUACAGUCGGGGGAUACGGUACCGGAAGAAUAAGCACCGGCUAACUACGUGCCAGCAGCCGCGGUAAUACGUAGGGUGCAAGCGUUAAUCGGAAUUACUGGGCGUAAAGCGUGCGCAGGCGGUUUGCUAAGACCGAUNUGAAAUCCCCGGGCUCAACCUGGGAACUGCAUUGGUGACUGGCAGGCUAGAGUAUGGCAGAGGGGGGUAGAAUUCCACGUGUAGCAGUGAAAUGCGUAGAGAUGUGGAGGAUACCGAUGGCGAAGGCAGCCCCCUGGGCCAAUACUGACGCUCAUGCACGAAAGCGUGGGGAGCAAAACAGGAUU
rnacentral:rRNA from 1 species